rnacentral:tRNA from 1 species
GGGAAGGUGGGUGAGUGGCUUAAACCAGCACACUGCUAACGUGCCGAGGUGUAAUAACCUCCGAGAGUUCGAAUCUCUCCCUUCCCG